rnacentral:tRNA from 1 species
GCUUCAAUAGCUCAGUUGGUAGGGCAGCUCACUUGUAAUGAGCAGGUCGCAGGUUCGAAUCCUACUUGAAGCU